rnacentral:rRNA from 1 species
CCGCCCGCCACAUCAUGAAAGCUGUUUGUACCCGAAAUCAUCUUAGCCAACCUGAAAAGGAGGCGGGUGCCUAAGGUAUGUAUGGUGAUUGGGAUG